UACGAGGGGGGGCGAGCGUUGUUCGGAAUUAUUGGGCGUAAAGGGUGCGUAGGCGGUUUGGCAAGUCGGGUGUGAAAACUCCGGGCUCAACUCGGAGACGCCACUCGAUACUGCUAUGACUCGAGUCCGGUAGGGGAGUGCGGAAUUCCUGGUGUAGCGGUGAAAUGCGCAGAUAUCAGGAGGAACACCGGUGGCGAAGGCGGCACUCGUGGGCCGGUACUGACGCUGAGGCGACGAAAGCGUGGGGUAGCGAAACGGG
rnacentral:rRNA from 1 species